AUGGAAAAAAGCCAGCAGAUAAAUCAUCUGGCCUUCCUCCCCUAUGACGGACUGUUCUGAGCCACUGUGUUUCACAUGUUUCACAUGUCUUCCCUGGAGAUGUCCCACAUGACUUGAGCAACCAGCUGGAGCUCUAGAGAAACUGUGGCCAUCCUGAGGAAGAAACAGGCCCAGAGAAGUUGGGUAACUCAUCAAAGGUCACAGAGCUAAGAGUGGCAGAGUCAGGCUUGGAGCCCAGGAAGUCUGGUUUCGAAUUUCAUGCUUCUAACCUGAGCACUGUACUGCUUGGUGGAGUUCUCUGCUAGUCCUACCUUUCAGGCAGAGGUGAUGCAGCGAGAAAGCUGCCACCAGAUGUAGCCCCUUGAUCUUGGACUGCCCAGCCUCUAGAACUGAGUUGAAGAGCAAUUCCCUCCAGUUUCCAUUAGAAAUGCUUCUUUUUCCAUAUCAAAUGUUGUGGGAUAGCCUGAAACACCUUUCAACACUUCAUUACCCUUCUCCAAAAUUCAACAGAUGUGAUUUCCACAGACUUUACUCGCAGGGGCUCCAGUAGAAGAGGAAGAGGCUUGGGUUUAAUUGAAGGUGGCCUGAGACUUCUGUGAGGAACAGCCCUUUUAGAGACAUAUCCCCUACAAAGAAAGCAUCAGAAUUAUUACCCUAA
rnacentral:lncRNA from 1 species